CCUACGGGGGGCAGCAGUGAGGAAUAUUGGUCAAUGGGCGAGAGCCUGAACCAGCCAAGUCGCGUGAGGGAGUACUGCCCUAUGGGUUGUAAACCUCUUUUGUCGGGGAGCAAAAGUCGGACGUGUCCGGCUGUGAGAGUACCCGAAGAAAAAGCAUCGGCUAACUCCGUGCCAGCAGCCGCGGUAAUACGGAGGAUGCGAGCGUUAUCCGGAUUUAUGGGGUUUAAAGGGUGCGCAGGCGGAUUUUUAAGUCAGCGGUCAACUCGUGGGGCUCAACCCGAUCCAGCCGUUGAAACUGGGGAUCUAGAGUGUGCGAGAGGUAUGCGGAAUGCGUGGUGUAGCGGUGAAAUGCAUAGAUAUCACGCAGAAACCCGAUUGCGAAGGCAGCAUACCGGUGAACAACUGACGCUCAGGCACGAAAGCGUGGGUAUCGAACAGGAUUAGAUACCCGAGUAGUC
rnacentral:rRNA from 1 species